rnacentral:rRNA from 1 species
UCCCAGCGGUCCAAGUCGCAGCCACAAUUAUUGGGUCUAAAACAUCCGUAGCUUGCUUGGUAAGUCUCUUGUGAAAUCUGGCCUCUUAAGGGUCGGGCGUGCAAGAGAUACUACUGAGCUUGAGACCGGGAGACGUAAGGAGUACGUAUAGUGUAGCGGUAAAAUGCGUUGAUCCUAUAUGGACUAACAAUAGCGAAGGCACCUUACGAGAACGGAUCUGACAGUGAGGGAUGAAGGCUAGGGGCGCAAAGUG